UAACGAAUCUUCCGCAAUGGGCGCAAGCCUGACGGAGCAAUGCCGCGUGUGGGAUGAAGCGUCUCUGACGUGUAAACCACUGUCAGGGGUUAGAAACAAUGAUCAACCCCAAAGGAAGUGGCGACUAACUCUGUGCCAGCAGUCGCGGUAAUACAGAGGCCACAAGCGUUAGUCGGAAUCACUGGGCUUAAAGGGUGCGUAAGCUGGUCCGCAAGCGUCUUGUGAAAGCCCUCGGCUCAACCGAGGAACAGCAGGGCGAACUGCGGAUCUUGAGGCAGGUAGGGGUCGCGAGAACAGUAGGUGGAGCGGUGAAAUGCGUAGAUAUCUACUGGAAUGCCGAUGGUGAAGACGCGCGACUGGGCCUGUCCUGACGCUGAGGCACGAAAGCCAGGGGAGCAAACGGGAUUAGAUACCCACGUAGUCCCUGAGCGGGCUGGCAAGGCGCAU
rnacentral:rRNA from 1 species